rnacentral:rRNA from 1 species
GGAUGCGAUCAUACCAGCACUAAAGCACCGGAUCCCCCAUCAGAACUCCGAAGUUAAGCUUGCUUGGGCGAGAGUAGUACUAGGAUGGGUGACCUCCUGGGAAGUCCUCGUGUUGCAUUCC